rnacentral:rRNA from 1 species
ACGCUGGCGGCGUGCCUAAUACAUGCAAGUAGAACGCUGAAGGAGGAGCUUGCUUCUCCGGAUGAGUUGCGAACGGGUGAGUAACGCGUAGGUAACCUGCCUGGUAGCGGGGGAUAACUAUUGGAAACGAUAGCUAAUACCGCAUGACAACAGUUAUUGCAUGAUAACUGUUUAAAAGGGGCAACUGCUCCACUACCAGAUGGACCUGCGUUGUAUUAGCUAGUUGGUGAGGUAACGGCUCACCAAGGCGACGAUACAUAGCCGACCUGAGAGGGUGAUCGGCCACACUGGGACUGAGACACGGCCCAGACUCCUACGGGAGGCAGCAGUAGGGAAUCUUCGGCAAUGGACGGAAGUCUGACCGAGCAACGCCGCGUGAGUGAAGAAGGUUUUCGGAUCGUAAAGCUCUGUUGUAAGAGAAGAACGAGUGUGAGAGUGGAAAGUUCACACUGUGACGGUAUCUUACCAGAAAGGGACGGCUAACUACGUGCCAGCAGCCGCGGUAAUACGUAGGUCCCGAGCGUUAUCCGGAUUUAUUGGGCGUAAAGCGAGCGCAGGCGGUUAGAUAAGUCUGAAGUUAAAGGCUGUGGCUUAACCAUAGUACGCUUUGGAAACUGUUUAACUUGAGUGCAAGAGGGGAGAGUGGAAUUCCAUGUGUAGCGGUGAAAUGCGUAGAUAUAUGGAGGAACACCGGUGGCGAAAGCGGCUCUCUGGCUUGUAACUGACGCUGAGGCUCGAAAGCGUGGGGAGCGAACAGGAUUAGAUACCCUGGUAGUCCACGCCGUAAACGAUGAGUGCUAGGUGUUAGACCCUUUCCGGGGUUUAGUGCCGCAGCUAACGCAUUAAGCACUCCGCCUGGGGAGUACGACCGCAAGGUUGAAACUCAAAGGAAUUGACGGGGGCCCGCACAAGCGG